GCUGAGCAAGGAGGAGACGCGGCGCUUCUACGACUGGACGCUGGCACAGGAGGCCGAGAGCCGCCGCCUGCAGCAGCUCAGGUCCAGGCUCGAAGACCCCUACGAGCAGGACAUCAUCAACUACAAGUCCGUGCCGGACAUGGUUGACCGCCUCGGUGGCAAGAACAUGGAGCUCAGCGACCAGGCCAUGACUGCGCUCACCUUUGAUAUCGUCAUCAUCAUCAUCUCAAUCUGCAGCAUCAUCUAUG
rnacentral:lncRNA from 1 species